rnacentral:rRNA from 1 species
AGUGAACGCUGGCGGUAGGCCUAACACAUGCAAGUCGAACGGCAGCACAGUAAGAGCUUGCUCUUACGGGUGGCGAGUGGCGGACGGGUGAGGAAUACAUCGGAAUCUACUUUUUCGUGGGGGAUAACGUAGGGAAACUUACGCUAAUACCGCAUACGACCUACGGGUGAAAGCAGGGGAUCUUCGGACCUUGCGCGAUUGAAUGAGCUGAUGUCGGAUUAGCUAGUUGGCGGGGUAAAGGCCCACCAAGGCGACGAUCCGUAGCUGGUCUGAGAGGAUGAUCAGCCACACUGGAACUGAGACACGGUCCAGACUCCUACGGGAGGCAGCAGUGGGGAAUAUUGGACAAUGGGCGCAAGCCUGAUCCAGCCAUACCGCGUGGGUGAAGAAGGCCUUCGGGUUGUAAAGCCCUGUUGUUGGGAAAGAAAAGCAGCAGGUUAAUACCCCGCUGUUCUGACGGUACCCAAAGAAUAAGCACCGGCUAACUUCGUG